UACAGAGGUCUCAAGCGUUGUUCGGAUUCAUUGGGCGAAAGGGUGCGUAGGCGGCGCGGUAAGUCGGGGUGUGAAAUCUUGGAGCUUAACUCCGAAACUGCAUUCGAUACUGCCGUGCUUGAGGACUGGAGAGGAGACUGGGAAUUUACGGGUGUAGCGGUGAAAAUGCGUAGAUAUCGUAAGGAAGACCGUGGCGAAGGCGGGGUCUCUGGAC
rnacentral:rRNA from 1 species